CGUAAGGGUGCGUAACACGUAUGCAAUCUGCCCUCAACAGGAGUAUAGCUCGGGGAAACUCGGAUUAACCCUCCAUAAUAUUGCGAGGUGGCAUCACCGCGCAAUUAAAACGCAAGUGGUUAAGGAUGAACAUGCGCUUGAUUAGUUAGUUGGUGGGGUAACGGCCUACCAAGACAAUGAUCAUUAGGGGAACUGAGAGGUUGAUCCCCCACACUGGCACUGAGAUACCGGCCACACUCCUACGGGAGGCAUCAGUAAGGAAUAUUGGUCAAUGGGUGACAGCCUGAACCAGCCAUGCCGCGUGCAGGAAGACGGCCUUCUGGGGGUGUAAACUGCUUUUAUCUGGGGGAUAAAAAGAUCUUGCGAGACUAAUUGAAGGUACCAGAUGAAUAAGCACCGGCUAACUACGUGCCAGCAGCCGCGGUAAUAAGG
rnacentral:rRNA from 1 species